UACGUAGGGUGCAAGCGUUAAUCGGAAUUACUGGGCGUAAAGCGUGCGCAGGCGGUUUUGUAAGUCAGAUGUGAAAUCCCCGGGCUUAACCUGGGAACUGCGUUUGAAACUACAAGGCUAGAGUGUGGCAGAGGGGGGUGGAAUUCCACGUGUAGCAGUGAAAUGCGUAGAGAUGUGGAGGAAUACCGGUGGCGAAGGCGGCAUCCUGGACCGGCAUUGACGCUGAUGAGCGAAAGCUAGGGGAGCAAACGGG
rnacentral:rRNA from 1 species